AUUGAACGCUAGCGGCAUGCCUUACACAUGCAAGUCGAACGGAGUGGCGAACGGGUGAGUAAUGUAUGGGAACGUGCCCAGUAGCGGGGGAUAACUACGCGAAAGCGUAGCUAAUACCGCAUACUCUUGGAGCGGCCGAUAUCGGAUUAGCUAGCUGGUGGGGUAGGGGCUCACCAAGGCGACGAUCCGUAGCUGGUUUGAGAGGACGACCAGUCAAACUGGGACUGAGACACGGCCCAGACUCCUACGGGAGGCAGCAGUGGGGAAUUUUGGACAAUGGGGGAAACCCUGAUCCAGCCAUCCCGCGUGUGCGAUGAAGGCCUUCGGGUUGUAAAGCACUUUUGGUAGGAAAGCGGUACCUGCAGAAGAAGCACCGGCUAACUACGUGCCAGCAGCCGCGGUAAUAC
rnacentral:rRNA from 1 species